AAGGCCAUGGUGUCCUUCCCUGACCCAGCGGGCCGUCCCCCUGCCCCCUCUUCCUGAAGAAUGCUGUCACCAGCUGUGCAGGCUCUGGCCAGAAGCCUCGGCAUCAUCCUUAUUCACCACCAGCCUCUGCAUCCCAUGAAUCACAGGAUUUCACUGGGAGAUAAGCUCCGGUGUAUGGGCGGGCGGCUCUCAGAUGGGGUUCUCAGACCUGUGUUCUUCCUCCUUCCUCCUACUUGCGGAACUCACAGCUUCUCACCUUUCACCUGAAUUACUGCCCCAGUCCAGCGGCUCUUUCCCUUCCACGGGGUUUCCCCCUUGCCAUGUCUGAAGGUUCCACCGUACCCCAGUUCACACUCUGAAACCCUAACUCCUAGCAUGAUAGUGUGGGGAAGUGGGACCUGGGGAGGUGGUUAGGUCUUGAGGUUUCUUCUAUGAUGUCAGUGUCUAGUGAGGGGGCGGAGUUUCUUCUUGAGUCCAGGCAAGGACUAAGCAAAAAGGUGCACUCUGUGAAUCAGGCCACUGAUCUUAGCAGACAGCAAACUUGCUGGAUCUUCCUCAUGAACUGUUCUGCCUCCAGACCCAAGCAGGACUGUGCAGGGCUUUGGAGUGUAGGAAAGACUCAGGAGUCUAAGGAUCUGCUCCUCCUCCCAAGGUUUGGGUCAUUUUUCCAGCGUCUCCUGGAGGUCACUCAGCCAUCGCAUCCAUCCAUCCAUCCAUCCAUCUGUCCAUCCAUCCAGGCAUUCUUCUGUGGUUAAGCUUUCUGGGCUGGGCUUCUGCAUUUGAACAGAAGAAUUGCUGGGAAAAAGAGCGAGCCAGGCAGGAAAGUGAAUAGCAUCUACGCAUGCCUACACGGCAUCUCUCAGCCUGUGGAGCCCCCUGGAAUGUUACUUAGCCAGACUCACAACUUGAGCUUUCCACGUCUCAAAUCCCAGCAGUGUUUUCACAAAGUCAGCUAUAGAAGUCAACUGCUUCCCCAUUCCCCAAAUGUCACACUCCAGAGCUUUGCCCUGUCCUCCCCAUUCCCCAAAUGUCACACUCCAGAGCUUUGCCCUGCUCUUCCAAACACAUUCAUUGCAUCAUCAAUGCUCAGUAAGAAUAAGAUGAAGUCAAGUCAAAGACUAGCAUUGGUGUUUCUUAUGUUCCCUCCGCCCCCACAAGACAGGGUUUCUUUGUGUAGCUCUGGCUGUCCUAGAAUUCCCUCUGUAGCCCAGGCUGGCCUCGAACUCAAAGAUUCGCCUGCCUCUGCUGGGAUUAAAGGCUGGCACCACCACUGUCCAUCAUUUUUUUAUAUUCUUAAUUAAGCCAAUACUCGGAUAUCUCCUAAAUUUCUUAAAAUAACAACAAACAAACCCCAAACUCCUUUCAAACACUCUAGAAGUUUUAAAGUCACCACCUAGGCUCCAUUCUCAGAGAUUCAUGUCUGAAAUAGCACCAAGGCCUUGGAGGUCUGGGAUGAGUUUCUGGUAGUGGCAUCUCAGACCAGGCAUGCUUUCAUCUGCCCAAGUAGAGACAAAAUAUAGAUCAGAAAGUUGAAAAUUUUCAUUCAUUCAUUCAUUCAUUCAUUCAUUCAUUCAUUCAUUCAUUCAUUCAUUCAUUCAUUCAUUCAUCCAUUGAGACAGGGUCUUAUACUGUAGCCUAGGUUGGCUUGGAACUCACUAUGUAGCCCAGACUAACCUCCAACUUGUGCAGAUGCCCCUGCCUCAGCCUCCCAAGUGCUGGGAUUGCAGAUGUGAGCUACCAUAACUGGCUAAAAAAUAAUUGUGGUGUUUUUUUUCUUUAAUAUAUGUUGGAGUUUGAACCUAGGCUCCAUUAUUUAUGUAUUUAUGUGCAGAAGAUAGAACGCAGGCCUCCAUGCUUGGUAAUUAUGUGCUCUCCUACUGAGUGAUAUUCCCAGCCCCAAAGAUACUUUCUCCAGUGGGCACUGAGAAUAAUUCACUAUAGCUUCCCAUUGGUUUCCUCCAUUAACUUCUGUACAUUGAGGAGCUCUCCAGGAUACCUGUCUGCCAUGUAAGUAGGCACUUUCCAGUCAGUACCAGAGAGCAGGGGUGCGACCUUCUGUCCGGGCCAGCUAUUGGACUUGAACUUGGUGUGCUAUUUCAGAAAGGUCUGCUUCCCUGCACUCCUCCCCUGCCUGAGGGGCUGAUGUGAGUCCUCAGACCUAUCUUGUUGGUAUAGGAGAGACCCAAGUUUUCAGGUCCAAUAGAACGAAUUAUUUUAGGGCAAAUUUCCCAUUGAGGUCUUCUUGCUGUUUUGUUUUCUGGUUAGUUUCUGAUAAAAGGACCAAAGAAGACAGUUUUUCUUGAUAGAGAAAACCAUUCACAACAGUGCUCAUUGGCAUGGUGGAUUUGGUCUCAGUGUAUAUGUAUAGGUACAGAUUUAUGUAUACCUUAAUGCCGUGGAAGGGAAGGUGACAUUAGAAAGGAGCAUUUGAUAAAAUGUAAAACAGGGACCUUGGUGAUGUUCAACACACAGACAAAACGGCAGCGGGUUCUCAGCUCUUGUGGACACAGAACCCAAAUGUCAGAAAUCACAAAAUUCUCAUCAGACAUUUCCUCCCUUCUCCGUAGGAAGCGAGCCUGUCAGCGGCAUAAACACUUGCAAUCCUGCCCUUCCUAGGAUGCAUGUGCUAUCGAAAAGGGAGGUGUUAAUUGCUGUGCUAAUUACAACAUGAUUGCCUUGCACUUGCUUUGCACUUGUAGGUGAUUAAAUUUUUAACGAAGCAUAUUACUUGGCACUGUUAGCACAGUUAACACAUUUCUCUCUCUCUUUCUCUCUCUCUCUCUCUCCCUCUCCUUUUUUAUGCCUUGGGAGAAGUCCCGCACUGCAGCCCCUUCCCUGGCUGCGAUCUGCUUGUUGUGUUUGGAACAAGCCUCUGUUUAAGCUGUCGGUUACAGGACUCCAGCUUCCUGCUUGGGAAAGAGCAGCAGCCUAUUAUAAUCAUACCCAGCAUGAUGGCACCGGCCAGAUGCGAACGCAGAAUUCACAGAGGUAUUAGCGGAAAAAUGAGGCGGCGGCGCUGCCAAAGCCGGUUCCCAGCCUUCAUUUAAAAACUACAGCGGCCUCAGCCAGGGAAGUGACGGUGUCGAAGGGUUUAGCGGGAAGGUAGAGGGAUGACAGCAAGUUCCACGUGAUUUAUCUCCGCUUUCCAGCACACGCUCCCAGCUGAACCGGAGCACGGGAAACUUGCAUCUGUUCGGUGGGCAGCCUCGUCUCCUGCUUCCCACUGUGCACUCGGUGGAAUCUGGGUUUUGUGUUUCUGCGCCUGCGUAGGCACUCGAGCUGUUUUUUUUUUUCUUCCUCUUUCCUAGGCCUCUUUAUUCAGAGGAGCCUGGGAAUACAAGUGUGCCUGGAAGAAAGAAAAGGGCUGGAUACGGCUCAGGGUUCCCACCCUGGGCCUUAGGGGUCAGAGCCAUGCCAUGGAGUUAAACUGUCUUCAGUGAGGCACGGCAGCAAGACAAACACACCUACAGAGCCAGGCAAGUCCUGCCGGCAACUUUGUAUGACUCAACUCUCAUGACUUUGCAGUUUUUGCAGCAAGGAGCUUAAGACCAUAGUCUUAGGAGAACUGAAUGGAUAAAGGAAGUCGGUGAAUCAGAUCGAAUGAGAAGUGUCUGCUUGUCAUGGGCAUUUUCUUCUGUCAAUUGUUCUUGGGAACUCCUGAGCCAGUGGUAAGCUGGCUUGGGCAAGAGGCAAUUCUCCUGAGAAACAUAC